UACGGGGGGUGCGAGCGUUGUCCGGAAUCACUGGGCGUAAAGGGCGCGUAGGCGGCUUGAUAAGCGUGCGGUGAAAGCCCGGGGCUCAACCCCGGGUCGGCCGUGCGAACUGUCGAGCUGGAGCACUGUAGAGGCAGGUGGAAUUCCGGGUGUAGCGGUGGAAUGCGUAGAGAUCCGGAAGAACACCGGUGGCGAAGGCGGCCUGCUGGGCAGUGGAUGACGCUGAGGCGCGACAGCGUGGGGAGCAAACAGG
rnacentral:rRNA from 1 species